rnacentral:rRNA from 1 species
UACGGAGGGUGCGAGCGUUGUCCGGAAUCAUUGGGCGUAAAGGGCGCGUAGGUGGCCUGCUAAGCGUGCGGUGAAAGUCGGGGGCUCAACCCCCGAUCGGCCGUGCGAACUGGGAGGCUUGAGCACUGUAGAGGCAGGCGGAAUUCCGGGUGUAGCGGUGGAAUGCGUAGAGAUCCGGAAGAACACCGGUGGCGAAGGCGCUCUACUGGACCACAACUGACACUCAGGGACGAAAGCUAGGGGAGCGAAUGGG